rnacentral:rRNA from 1 species
UACGUCGGGUGCGAGCGUUCAUCGGCAUUACUGGGCGUAAAGCGUGCGCAGGCGGUUUUGUAAGCCAGAUGUGAAAGCCCCGGGCUUAACCUGGGAAUGGCAUUUGGGACUGCAAGGCUUGAGUGCGGCAGAGGAGACUGGAAUUCCUGGUGUAGCAGUGAAAUGCGUAGAUAUCAGGAGGAAUACCGAUGGCGAAGGCAGGUCUCUGGGCUGACACUGACGCUCAUGCACGAAAGCGUGGGGAGCAAACAGG